rnacentral:rRNA from 1 species
AUACGUAGGGGGCGAGCGUUAUCCGGAAUUAUUGGGCGUAAAGGGUUCGCAGGUGGCCUGAUAAGUCAGAAGUGAAAGGCUACGGCUCAACCGUAGUAAGCUUUUGAAACUAAGAGACUUGAGUGCAGGAGAGGAGAGUAGAAUUCCUAGUGUAGCGGUGAAAUGCGUAGAUAUUAGGAGGAAUACCAGUUGCGAAGGCGGCUCUCUGGACUGUAACUGACACUGAGGCACGAAAGCGUGGGGAGCAAACAGGAUUAGAUACCCUGGUAGUCCACGCCGUAAACGAUGAGUACUAGCUGUCGGGGGUUACCCCCCUCGGUGGCGCAGCUAACGCAUUAAGUACUCCGCCCGGGAAGUACGCUCGCAAGAGUGAAACUCAAAUGAAUUGACGGGG